CGUUUUUGGGGGGGAGAGGAGGCUUAUCUGCAACAGGGCAGUUGAAGGUCAGACAGUGUGAAGGACUUCUCAGCUUUCUGUUUACCUGGAGCAGAAGAGGAGUGCGUUUGGAGAGAAGCAGAGGGUCUGCCCUCCUAUCAACAGCACAGGAGAUGAGGAGAGAGGGAUUCAAAAACCACAGCCUGGACCCCACGGGAUAUCAAGCCAGCCCAGAGCUUCUGGACACCAGCAAGUGGUAUACAGCUAGUGGCAUGAAGAACGUUCACAUUACUGGGCAAGCAUUGCUACCAUUCCUUUCCAGAACUUCUUCCUCAACUGAAACUCUGUACCCAUUGAACAAUACUCCCCACUUCCCCGACUCCCCAACCGCAGGUA
rnacentral:lncRNA from 1 species